GGUGGCUCAGUGGUAGAGUGCUUGCCUUGCAUGCAUGAGGCCCUGGGUUCAAUUCUACAGCACCA
rnacentral:tRNA from 1 species